rnacentral:rRNA from 1 species
AAUGAACGUUGGCGGCAUGGAUUAGGCAUGCAAGUCGAGCGAGAAGUCGUUUUUUUGCUUGCAUUAAAGACGGACAGCGGCGAAAGGGAGAGUAACGCGUAGAAAUGUACCCCAAGGUCUGGGAUAGCGGUGGGAAACCGCCAGUAAUACCGGAUAAUGUCUCCGGACCAAAGUUUUUCGCCUUGGGAGCAGUCUGCGUACUAUUAGCUUGUUGGUGGGGUAAUGGCCUACCAAGGCUUAGAUGGUUAGCGGGCGUGAGAGCGUGGCCCGUCUCACUGGGACUGAGACACUGCCCAGACACCUACGGGUGGCUGCAGUCGAGAAUCUUCCGCAAUGGGCGAAAGCCUGACGGAGCAAUGCCGCGUGGUGGAUGAAGGCCUUCGGGUUGUAAACACCUGUCAGUAGGGAGGAAAUUUUGACCGAUCUACAGAGGAAGUCCGGGCUAAGUACGUG